AUUGCAGUAGGGAAUCUUCCGCAAUGGACGAAAGUCUGACGGAGCAACGCCGCGUGAGUGAUGAAGGUUUUCGGAUCGUAAAACUCUGUUGUUAGGGAAGAACAAGUGCGAGAGUAACUGCUCGCACCUUGACGGUACCUAACCAGAAAGCCACGGCUAACUACGUGCCAGCAGCCGCGGUGAUACGUAGGUGGCAAGCGUUGUCCGGAAUUAUUGGGCGUAAAGCGCGCGCAGGCGGUUUCUUAAGUCUGAUGUGAAAGCCCCCGGCUCAACCGUGGAGGGUCAUUGGAAACUGGGGGACUUGAGUACAGAAGAGAAGAGUGGAAUUCCACGUGUAGCGGUGAAAUGCGUAGAGAUGUGGAGGAACACCAGUGGCGAAGGCGACUCUUUGGUCUGUAACUGACGCUGAGGCGCGAAAGCGUGGGGAGCAAACAGGAUUAGAUACCCUGGUAGUCCACGCCGUAAACGAUGAGUGCUAAGUGUUAGAGGGUUUCCGCCCUUUAGUGCUGCAGCAAACGCAUUAAGCACUCCGCCUGGGGAGUACGAUCGCAAGAUUGAAACUCAAAGGAAUUGACGGAAUC
rnacentral:rRNA from 1 species